rnacentral:rRNA from 1 species
UACGAAGGGAGCUAGCGUUGGUCGGCUUCACUGGGCGUAAAGUGCUCAUAGGCGGAUUUGUCAGUCGGGGGUGAAAUCCCGAGGCUCAACCUCGGAACUGCCUCCGAUACAGCAAAUCUCGAGUCCGGGAGAGGUGGGUGGAAUUCCUAGUGUAGAGGUGAAAUUCGUAGAUAUUAGGAAGAACACCAGUGGCGAAGGCGGCCCACUGGCCCGGUACUGACGCUGAGGUGCGAAAGCGUGGGGAGCAAACAGG